CCUACGGGAGGCAGCAGUGGGGAAUAUUGGACAAUGGGCGAAAGCCUGAUCCAGCAAUGCCGCGUGAGUGGUGAAGGCCUUAGGGUUGUAAAGCUCUUUUACCAGGGAUGAUAAUGACAGUACCUGGAGAAUAAGCUCCGGCUAACUCCGUGCCAGCAGCCGCGGUAAUACGGAGGGAGCUAGCGUUGUUCGGAAUUACUGGGCGUAAAGCGUACGUAGGCGGUUAUUCAAGUCAGAGGUGAAAGCCUGGAGCUCAACUCCAGAACUGCCUUUGAAACUAGAUAGCUAGAAUCUUGGAGAGGUGAGUGGAAUUCCGAGUGUAGAGGUGAAAUUCGUAGAUAUUCGGAAGAACACCAGUGGCGAAGGCGACUCACUGGACAAGUAUUGACGCUGAGGUACGAAAGCGUGGGGAGCAAACAGGAUUAGAUACCCUGGUAGUCCACGCCGUAAACGAUGAUAACUAGCUGUUCGGGCUCUACGAGCUUGAGUGGCGCAGCUAACGCAUUAAGUUAUCCGCCUGGGGAGUACGGUCGCAAGAUUAAAACUCAAAGGAAUUGACGG
rnacentral:rRNA from 1 species